rnacentral:lncRNA from 1 species
AGUUGAAUAUGAGGUACGUGUUUAGAACCCAAGAAGCUGAUUUUUCAGGAAAGCUGUAUGAUAUGAUGACCGCUUUUCGAAUUAAUCCUUCACUUUUACAAUUAGUUUAUAUAAAAGGAGAUUAUGUUUUUAUUACGAGAAUUGUCAAGACUUUAAAAGCACAUUUUAUGUUAAAAGUACUGUUUCUAAAACAAUAGUGUAUAAUAUUAGCUGUUUAAAACCAUUAGUUUAAAUGUUUUAAGUCAAAAAGCAUAAGCAUUAAAACUUAUAGAGGCAGGAUGUAUUUUUGCAUUUUUACGAGGUCAUGCUUAUCAUUAUAACAACCUGAAUCACUCCUGGGAAUCUUUGCUCUACAAGUAAGGUUCCUCUGGCGUUGCUUAACAUUGCUUCCUAGCUCCUCUUAGAGUGAAAUAGUCAAACAAUUAAAAUUACAUUUAUGUCUUUACUUUUAUAAGCUUCGGUCUCUUUUUCUCACCAUUACUUUUCUCCUUUCAAAGAGCUCUAGAGUAUUUUGCUUGGUGAAUGUCCCGUUUAGUGCCUCUAAUAAACUAUCAUACUUCAAGAUUCUGUAACAGUCCUGUGUGUGUUUCAGAUCAGGUGAUUAGACAGAAGUAUCAGAAAAUACUUCUAGUCAUGUUAAAGACUUAUUCUAUUUAUAUGUAUGCAUUCACUACGUGUGCCACAUGUAUUUGUGUAUCUUCAGAGACCAGAAAAUGGUGUUGGAUUCCUGGGAGCUGAAGUUACAGAUUGAUGUGAGCCAGCAAGCAUUGGUUCUGGGACUCUAAUUCAUGUCCUCUAGAAUGUCAGUAAAUACUUUUAACUGCUGACUUGUUUCUCUAGCCCCAUUUCCCACCAUUUAAAAUACUGCACAACGAAUAAAAUCCCAUCUAUCAUUGCCGAGGUUGAAGAUCUAGGACUCUGCCUACAAAAGUGCAUACUGGGUCCAUAGUUGCUGAAUGAACUGGGGAACCAGUGUAGGAUGUUGCAAGUUUAUUUUUAUGUGUGGGCUUUUCUUUUAUAACUAUAAAAGAAAAUACCUAUUCCUUAAUACUUUAAGGGAAAACUUUGAAUUGUGACCCUUAGGUCACAUAGUACAACAGCUGUCUUUGUUUCUGGCUAUAAUACCUGGGUGCUCAGUCUUAUUUUGUCCAGAGCCUACAAGGUGUUUGAUCAAGAGUUAAGUCUAAAAUCCCCAGCAACCGCAUGUUAGGCUCAUUCAUUAUCUGUCCUCAAGGUUGGAAAAGCUUACACUUUUGAAUUGCUUAUACUCAACAUUACUGGAAUUUUGGUGUGGAUUACUUUGUGAAGUGGUUUUUAUGUGUUGGUUUUGAUGUUUGUAUAUCCAUGGCUGAGAAAUGCCUUUGACCUAGAUUAUCUUCCGGAUUUUACAUCUACUGGGUCUGUCCUUACGCAAUCAGCAUUUUUUUUUCUUUUCUGUUAUUCAGGCAGACUGCAUUGAGACCAUUUAACCCAUUUCUUUCUUCUAAGUCAGUGUAGUCUGAACAGGAAGAGAGCUCUGCUGGUUAGCAGCAGUGAAGACAGAGGCAGAGGCGAGCUCUGCCGCUCUCCUUCCCCCAGCCUCCCUCUGUGUCUCCUUCCUCUUCCUCUCUACCUUUUUCACCCAUCUGCUUUCUCACAUUCCCUCUUCCUAUGUGUGUGUUUAUGUUGCUUUCAUUUAACGGCCUAGCAGUUACUUGGAUCGAAGCCAAAGUUACAUUCAGUUUCCCCCAAACAUUUCUUUUUGUUUCUUUUUUUCUCUUUAACUUUUUAUUGACUCUUUCUGAAUUUCACAGCAUGUAACCCAAUCCCACUCGUCUCCCUGCCUCUUCAUAUCUGCUCUCUGCCCUUGUAACCUGCCUCCC